GUCAAGUGAAGAAGCGCAUACGGUGGAUGCCUUGGCAGUCAGAGGCGAUGAAAGACGUGGUAGCCUGCGAAAAGCUUCGGGGAGUCGGCAAACAGACUUUGAUCCGGAGAUCUCUGAAUGGGGGAACCCACCUAGGAUAACCUAGGUAUCUUGUACUGAAUCCAUAGGUGCAAGAGGCGAACCAGGGGAACUGAAACAUCUAAGUACCCUGAGGAAAAGAAAUCAACCGAGAUUCCCUUAGUAGUGGCGAGCGAACGGGGAUUAGCCCUUAAGCUUCAUUGAUUUUAGCGGAACGCUCUGGAAAGUGCGGCCAUAGUGGGUGAUAGCCCCGUACGCGAAAGGAUCUUUGAAGUGAAAUCAAGUAGGACGGAGCACGAGAAACUUUGUCUGAACAUGGGGGGACCAUCCUCCAAGGCUAAAUACUACUGACUGACCGAUAGUGAACCAGUACCGUGAGGGAAAGGCGAAAAGAACCCCGGAGAGGGGAGUGAAAUAGAACCUGAAACCGUAUGCGUACAAGCAGUGGGAGCCUACUUGUUAGGUGACUGCGUACCUUUUGUAUAAUGGGUCAGCGACUUAUAUUCAGUGGCAAGCUUAACCGUAUAGGGUAGGCGUAGCGAAAGCGAGUCUUAAUAGGGCGUUUAGUCGCUGGGUAUAGACCCGAAACCGGGCGAUCUAUCCAUGAGCAGGUUGAAGGUUAGGUAACACUGACUGGAGGACCGAACCCACUCCCGUUGAAAAGGUAGGGGAUGACUUGUGGAUCGGAGUGAAAGGCUAAUCAAGCUCGGAGAUAGCUGGUUCUCCUCGAAAGCUAUUUAGGUAGCGCCUCAUGUAUCACUCUGGGGGGUAGAGCACUGUUUCGGCUAGGGGGUCAUCCCGACUUACCAAACCGAUGCAAACUCCGAAUACCCAGAAGUGCCGAGCAUGGGAGACACACGGCGGGUGCUAACGUCCGUCGUGAAAAGGGAAACAACCCAGACCGCCAGCUAAGGUCCCAAAGUUGUGGUUAAGUGGUAAACGAUGUGGGAAGGCUUAGACAGCUAGGAGGUUGGCUUAGAAGCAGCCACCCUUUAAAGAAAGCGUAAUAGCUCACUAGUCGAGUCGGCCUGCGCGGAAGAUGUAACGGGGCUCAAACCACACACCGAAGCUGCGGGUGUCACGUAAGUGACGCGGUAGAGGAGCGUUCUGUAAGCCUGUGAAGGUGAGUUGAGAAGCUUGCUGGAGGUAUCAGAAGUGCGAAUGCUGACAUGAGUAACGACAAUGGGUGUGAAAAACACCCACGCCGAAAGACCAAGGGUUCCUGCGCAACGUUAAUCGACGCAGGGUUAGUCGGUUCCUAAGGCGAGGCUGAAAAGCGUAGUCGAUGGGAAACAGGUUAAUAUUCCUGUACUUCUGGUUACUGCGAUGGAGGGACGGAGAAGGCUAGGCCAGCUUGGCGUUGGUUGUCCAAGUUUAAGGUGGUAGGCUGAAAUCUUAGGUAAAUCCGGGGUUUCAAGGCCGAGAGCUGAUGACGAGUCGUCUUUUAGAUGACGAAGUGGUUGAUGCCAUGCUUCCAAGAAAAGCUUCUAAGCUUCAGGUAACCAGGAACCGUACCCCAAACCGACACAGGUGGUCGGGUAGAGAAUACCAAGGCGCUUGAGAGAACUCGGGUGAAGGAACUAGGCAAAAUGGCACCGUAACUUCGGGAGAAGGUGCGCCGGCUAGGGUGAAGGAUUUACUCCGUAAGCUCUGGCUGGUCGAAGAUACCAGGCCGCUGCGACUGUUUAUUAAAAACACAGCACUCUGCAAACACGAAAGUGGACGUAUAGGGUGUGACGCCUGCCCGGUGCCGGAAGGUUAAUUGAUGGGGUUAGCGCAAGCGAAGCUCUUGAUCGAAGCCCCGGUAAACGGCGGCCGUAACUAUAACGGUCCUAAGGUAGCGAAAUUCCUUGUCGGGUAAGUUCCGACCUGCACGAAUGGCGUAACGAUGGCGGCGCUGUCUCCACCCGAGACUCAGUGAAAUUGAAAUCGCUGUGAAGAUGCAGUGUAUCCGCGGCUAGACGGAAAGACCCCGUGAACCUUUACUGUAGCUUUGCACUGGACUUUGAGCCUGCUUGUGUAGGAUAGGUGGGAGGCUUUGAAGCGUGGACGCCAGUUCGCGUGGAGCCAUCCUUGAAAUACCACCCUGGCAUGCUUGAGGUUCUAACUCUGGUCCGUAAUCCGGAUCGAGGACAGUGUAUGGUGGGCAGUUUGACUGGGGCGGUCUCCUCCUAAAGAGUAACGGAGGAGUACGAAGGUGCGCUCAGACCGGUCGGAAAUCGGUCGCAGAGUAUAAAGGCAAAAGCGCGCUUGACUGCGAGACAGACACGUCGAGCAGGUACGAAAGUAGGUCUUAGUGAUCCGGUGGUUCUGUAUGGAAGGGCCAUCGCUCAACGGAUAAAAGGUACUCCGGGGAUAACAGGCUGAUACCGCCCAAGAGUUCAUAUCGACGGCGGUGUUUGGCACCUCGAUGUCGGCUCAUCACAUCCUGGGGCUGAAGCCGGUCCCAAGGGUAUGGCUGUUCGCCAUUUAAAGUGGUACGCGAGCUGGGUUUAGAACGUCGUGAGACAGUUCGGUCCCUAUCUGCCGUGGACGUUUGAGAUUUGAGAGGGGCUGCUCCUAGUACGAGAGGACCGGAGUGGACGAACCUCUGGUGUUCCGGUUGUCACGCCAGUGGCAUUGCCGGGUAGCUAUGUUCGGAAAAGAUAACCGCUGAAAGCAUCUAAGCGGGAAACUUGCCUCAAGAUGAGAUCUCACUGGGAACUUGAUUCCCCUGAAGGGCCGUCGAAGACUACGACGUUGAUAGGCUGGGUGUGUAAGCGUUGUGAGGCGUUGAGCUAACCAGUACUAAUUGCCCGUGAGGCUUGACC
rnacentral:rRNA from 1 species